rnacentral:rRNA from 1 species
CUACGGGGUGCUGCAGUGAGGAAUUUUGCGCAAUGGGGGGAACCCUGACGCAGCAACGCCGCGUGAGUGAAGAAGGCCUUUGGGUCGUAAAGCUCUGUCAACAAGGAAGAAGUUACGACAGAUUAAUAAGCUGUUGUAUUGACGGUACUUGUGGAGGAAGCGCCGGCUAACUCCGUGCCAGCAGCCGCGGUAACACGGGGGGCGCAAGCGUUAUUCGGAAUUAUUGGGCGUAAAGGGCGCGUAGGCGGCCUUGUCAGUCAGAUGUGAAAGCCCGGGGCUCAGCCCCGGACGUGCAUUUGAAACAGCAAGGCUUGAGUACGGGAGAGGAAAGCAGAAUUCCUGGUGUAGAGGUGAAAUUCGUAGAUAUCAGGAGGAACACCGAUGGCGAAGGCAGCUUUCUGGACCGAUACUGACGCUGAUGCGCGAAGGCGUGGGUAGCGAACAGGAUUAGAUACCCUUGUAGUC